GGGAGUGGGACUAGGCUGGUUGUAAUGCCAAAUCUUACCGAUUCAGAACCUUCUGUCUACCAACUGGAGGACAAAAAAGAAGGCAAUGUGACUGCUUGCCUCGUUACUGACUAUUCACCUAAUCCCAUUGGAGUGAAGAUUAAAAAAACUGAUUCAGAUGCCGUAUCAUUCAAUGGCUCUGUUGUUGUUGUGAAAGAAGAUGACAGUGAAGGAUCAGCCAGCCUUGGGGUUGUCCGUUGGGGCAAAGCUGAUGACGAAUUUCAUUGCUCUGCUACUUACAAAGACAAAACCUAUAAAGUUGAAGAAGAGAAGGGCAGCUGUUCAACAGGUGAAAUGUCCACUACUCCAGUUUUCGAAGCAGAUGAAAGGCUGAAUCUUCUCUCUCUUACCGUAUUGGGACUGAGAGUGAUUUUUAUCAAAAGUGUUGCCCUAAACUUGAUACUCACCUACCGUGCAUGGUCGAGAUGAG